ACGGAAGGCAGCAGUGGGGAAUUUUGGACAAUGGGGGCAACCCUGAUCCAGCGACGCCGCGUGGAGGAUGAAGGUUUUAGGAUUGUAAACUCCUUUUGGAUGGGAAGAACAAAAUGACGGUACCAUCAGAAAAAGCCACGGCUAACUUCGUGCCAGCAGCCGCGGUAAUACGAAGGUGGCGAGCGUUACUCGGAAUUACUAGGCGUAAAGCGUAUGUAGGUGGUUAUAUAAGUCUGUGGUGAAAUUUCCUGGCUCAACUGGGAAGGGAACACAGAUACUGUAUAGCUUGAGUAUGUGAGGGGGAAACGGAAUUCCUGGUGUAGCGGUGAAAUGCGUAGAUAUCAGGAGGAACACCGAUGGCGAAAGCAGUUUCCUGGCACAAAACUGACACUGAGGUACGAAAGCUAGGGUAGCAAACAGGAUUAGAUACCCUGGUA
rnacentral:rRNA from 1 species